rnacentral:rRNA from 1 species
UACGAGGGGUGCAAGCGUUGCUCGGAAUUAUUGGGCGUAAAGGGUUGGUAGGUGGUCUUGUUUGUCUGAGGUGAAAUCCCGGGGCUUAACCCCGGAAGUGCCUUAGAAACGGCAAGACUAGAGUCCUAGAGGGGUUUGUGGAAUUCCCGGUGUAGCGGUGAAAUGCGUAGAGAUCGGGAGGAACACCAGCAGCGAAGGCGGCAAACUGGAUAGGCACUGACACUGAACAACGAAAGCGUGGGUAGCAAACAGG